rnacentral:rRNA from 1 species
UUCCGGUUGAUCCCGCCGGACCUGACUGCUAUCGGAUUGAUACUAAGCCAUGCGAGUCUUUGCAGUAAUGCAAGGCAUACGGCUCAGUAACACGUAGUCAACUUACCCUAUGGACGAGGAUAAUCUCGGGAAACUGAGCAUAAUACUCGAUAGAUCAUAAUGCCUGGAAUGGUUUAUGGUUGAAAUGAUUCGUCGCCAUAGGAUGGGACUGCGGCCUAUCAGCUUGUUGGUGAGGUAAUGGCCCACCAAGGCGAUUACAGGUACGGGCUCUGAGAGGAGAAGCCCGGAGAUGGGUACUGAGACAAGGACCCAGGCCCUAUGGGGCGCAGCAGGCGAGAAAACUUUGCAAUGUGCGAAAGCACGACAAGGUUAAUCCGAGUGAUUUCUGCUAAAGAAAUCUUUUGCAAGUCAUAAAACCACUAGUGAAUAAGGGGUGGGCAAGUUCUGGUGUCAGCCGCCGCGGUAAAACCAACACCUCAAGUGGUCAGGAGGAUUAUUGGGCCUAAAGCAUCCGUAGCCGGCUCUGUAAGUUUUCGGUUAAAUCCAUGUGCUCAACGCAUGGGCUGCCGAAAAUACUGCAUAGCUAGGGAGUGGGAGAGGUAGACGGUACUCGGUAGGAAGGGGUAAAAUCCUUUGAUCUAUCGAUGACCACCUGUGGCGAAGGCGGUCUACCAGAACACGUUCGACGGUGAGGGAUGAAAGCUGGGGGAGCAAACCGGAUUAGAUACCCGGGUAGUCCCAGCUGUAAACGAUGCAGACUCGAUGAUGCAUUGGCAUAUAGCCAGUGCAGUGUCGCAGGGAAGCCGUUAAGUCUGCCGCCUGGGAAGUACGUACGCAAGUAUGAAACUUAAAGGAAUUGGCGGGGGAGCACCACAAGGGGUGAAGCCUGCGGUUCAAUUGGAUUCAACGCCGGG